AUGAGAACUGUCCUGGCAAUGUUGGAAUGAAAUUUACAGGAGCUACAAAGAGUUUUGGUUUUUAGAAGACUUAGUAUAAAUGUUCUAAAGAAAGAAAACAGUGUGGCAAAGAAAGGAAAGGAUUAUUCACUCAAAGAAAUAUGGAUGACAAGUACCUCCAGUAAAUGAUGUCAUAUCCAGCUUUGAAAAUGUUUUGUUUGAAAGAAAAGGACCUGAAGAAGGAGAAAGAUCUAUUUUAUAGAUUUAGAUGGAUUGAUAAACUGUCAAAGCUAUUGCUAUCACUAAAUUUUGUACAAUACUUGUAAUUCUUUAUCACUGAGUCUUUGAGCCUUCUGACAUGAUAGUGUAUCUAAUCUGAGAAAGCAGUGUCCAUGAUAUCAAUCUUGAAACAUUUCAAAAUAACCUAAUAUCAAAACAUAAUAUGUACAGAUUUAAUAGCAGAUGAAAACUCUACACAAACUGGAUACUGAUGUUACUGAAAUUUAGAGAUGUCAUACUUGCUGUGGAUUGAUUUAAGAAAAAAAUUAAUGUCUGAAAUGAUGUAAUAAACUAAUUACUCCAGUCUUGUUUUUUGCUUUAUUUUUAGGAAAUAUGUAACGGUAUUUAGAUGUAAUUUGCAUAGGUGUUUUUAACCCCCAUAAUUAGAGAUUUGGGGGCUUGUGGUUUUUGCUCUGUCUGUCUGUCUGUUUGCAAAAACCUUAUCCUUUUUUAGCUCACCGAAGGCUUUUCUGAUCACAUUUUGUAAGUAGUCCGUCCGUCCGUCUUUAAACUUUACACAUUUUCAACUUCUUCUCAAGAACCACUAGGCCAAUUUUCACCAAAGUUGGUACAAAGCAUCCUUAUGUGCUGGGGAAAUUAAAUUGUAAAAAUAAAGGGCCAAGUCCCCUUCCAAGGGGAGAUAAUCAAGAAAAGACAA